CCUACGGGAGGCAGCAGUGAGGAAUAUUGGUCAAUGGACGAGAGUCUGAACCAGCCAAGUAGCGUGAAGGAUGACUGCCCUAUGGGUUGUAAACUUCUUUUAUAAAGGAAUAAAACGAGGCACGUGUGCCUUUUUGCAUGUACUUUAUGAAUAAGGAUCGGCUAACUCCGUGCCAGCAGCCGCGGGAAUACGGAGGAUCCGAGCGUUAUCCGGAUUUAUUGGGUUUAAAGGGAGCGUAGAUGGGUUGUUAAGUCAGUUGUGAAAGUUUGCGGCUCAACCGUAAAAUUGCAAUUGAUACUGGCAGUCUUGAGUACAGUUGAGGUAGGCGGAAUGCGUGGUGUAGCGGUGAAAUGCUUAGAUAUCACGAAGAACCCCGAUUGCGAAGGCAGCUUACUAAACUGUGACUGACAUUGAUGCACGAAAGCGUGGGUAUCGAACAGGAUUAGAUACCCCUGUAGUC
rnacentral:rRNA from 1 species